rnacentral:rRNA from 1 species
UACGUAGGGGGCGAGCGUUGUCCGAAGUUACUGGGCGUAAAGAGCGCGUAGGCGGGUUUUUAAGUGAGGGGUGAAAUUCCGAGGCUCAACCUCGGAACUGCCUUUCAUACUGGGAACCUUGAGUGCGGGAGAGGCGAGUGGAAUGGUCGGUGUAGCGGUGAAAUGCGUAGAUAUCGAUCGGAACACCCAUGGCGAAGGCAGCUCGCUGGCCUGUAACUGACGCUGAGGCGCGAAAGCGUGGGGAGCAAACAGG